rnacentral:tRNA from 1 species
GGGCGGUUAGCUCAGCUGGGAGAGCACCUGCCUUACAAGCAGGGGGUCACAAGUUCGAUCCUUGUACCGCCCACCA